UAAAAUUUGCUAGAAAGGUCUUUCUUCU
rnacentral:piRNA from 1 species